UACGUAGGGGGCAAGCGUUGUCCGGAGUUACUGGGCGUAAAGCGCACGCAGGCGGUCUUUUUAAGUUUUGGGAGUGAACAGUUGGUGGCUUUAACUGCCAAAGUGCUUCGAAAAACUGAAAGACUUGAGGGCUUCAGAGGGACAACGGAAUUCCGGGUGGAGUGGUGAAAUGCGUAGAGAUCGGAGGAACACCAAAGGCGAAGGCAGUGCCUGGGGAGUACCUGACGCCUCAGGUGCGAAAGCCAGGGGAGGCGAACGGGG
rnacentral:rRNA from 1 species